UACGGAGGGGGCUAGCGUUAUUCGGAAUUACUGGGCGUAAAGCGCACGUAGGCGGCUUUGUGAAGUCAGAGGUGAAAGCCUGGAGCUCAACCUCCAGAACUGCCUUUGAGACUGCAUCGCUUGAAUCCAGGAGAGGUGAGUGGAAUUCCGAGUGUAGAGGUGAAAUUCGUAGAUAUUCGGAAGAACACCAGUGGCGAAGGCGGCUACACU
rnacentral:rRNA from 1 species